UACGUAGGGUGCGAGCGUUGUCCGGAAUUAUUGGGCGUAAAGGGCUCGUAGGCGGUCUGUCGCGUCGGGAGUGAAAACUCAGGGCUUAACCCUGAGCCUGCUUCCGAUACGGGCAGACUAGAGGUAUGCAGGGGAGAACGGAAUUCCUGGUGUAGCGGUGGAAUGCGCAGAUAUCAGGAGGAACACCGGUGGCGAAGGCGGGAUCCUGGGCCAGUACUGACGCUGAGGAGCGAAAGCGUGGGGAGCGAACAGG
rnacentral:rRNA from 1 species